UGGGGAAUUUUGGACAAUGGGCGAAAGCCUGAUCCAGCAAUGCCGCGUGUGUGAAGAAGGCCUUCGGGUUGUAAAGCACUUUUGUCCGGAAAGAAAUCCUUGGCUCUAAUACAGUCGGGGGAUGACGGUACCCGGAAGAAUAAGCACCGGCUAACUACGUGCCAGCAGCCGCGGUAAUACGUAGGGUGCAAGCGUUAAUCGGAAUUACUGGGCGUAAAGCGUGCGCAGGCGGUUUGCUAAGACCGAUGUGAAAUCCCCGGGCUCAACCUGGGAACUGCAUUGGUGACUGGCAGGCUAGAGUAUGGCAGAGGGGGUAGAAUUCCACGUGUAGCAGUGAAAUGCGUAGAGAUGUGGAGGAAUACCGAUGGCGAAGGCAGCCCCCUGGGCCAAUACUGACGCUCAUGCA
rnacentral:rRNA from 1 species